UACAGAGGUCUCAACCGUUGUUCGGAUUCAUUGGGCGUAAAGGGUGCGUAGGCGGGUCUUUAAGUCAGGGGUGAAAUCCUGGAGCUCAACUCCAGAACUGCCUUUGAUACUGAGGAUCUUGAGUUCGGGAGAGGUGAGUGGAACUGCGAGUGUAGAGGUGAAAUUCGUAGAUAUUCGCAAGAACACCAGUGGCGAAGGCGGCUCACUGGCCCGGUACUGACGCUGAGGUGCGAAAGCGUGGGGAGCAAACAGG
rnacentral:rRNA from 1 species